GGGGAAUUUUGGACAAUGGGGGCAACCCUGAUCCAGCCAUGCCGCGUGAGUGAAGAAGGCCUUCGGGUUGUAAAGCUCUUUCGGCCGGGAAGAAAUCGUGCAGGUUAAUACCUUGUAGUUUUGACGUUACCAACAGAAUAAGCACCGGCUAACUUCGUGCCAGCAGCCGCGGUAAUACGAAGGGUGCAAGCGUUAAUCGGAAUUACUGGGCGUAAAGCGUGCGCAGGCGGUUUGGUAAGACAGGUGUGAAAUCCCCGGGCUUAACCUGGGAACUGCGCUUGUGACUGCCAGGCUAGAGUACGGCAGAGGGGGGUGGAAUUCCACGUGUAGCAGUGAAAUGCGUAGAGAUGUGGAGGAACACCGAUGGCGAAGGCAGCCCCCUGGGCCUGUACUGACGCUCAUGCACGAAAGCGUGGGGAGCAAACA
rnacentral:rRNA from 1 species